rnacentral:rRNA from 1 species
GAUGAACGCUAGCUACAGGCUUAACACAUGCAAGUCGCGGGGUAACAUCUGGGAGAGCUUGCUCUUCCAGGAUGACGACCGGCGCACGGGUGAGUAACGCGUAUCCAACCUGGCCCAUACCACGGGAUAGCCCGUCGAAAGGCGGAUUAAUACCGUAUGCUGUCAUUAAGAGGCAUUUUUUGAUGACGAAAGGAUUGGCGGUAUGGGAUGGGGAUGCGUCUGAUUAGCUUGUUGGCGGGGUAACGGCCCACCAAGGCGACGAUCAGUAGGGGUUCUGAGAGGAAGGUCCCCCACAUUGGGAACUGAGACACGGUCCAAACUCCUACGGGAGGCAGCAGUGAGGAAUAUUGGUCAAUGGGCGCAAGCCUGAACCAGCCAAGUAGCGUGAGGGAAGACUGCCCUACGGGUUGUAAACCUCUUUUGUUUGGGAAUAAAGUGCGGGACGUGUCCCGCAUUGCAUGUACCAUUUGAAUAAGGACCGGCUAAUUCCGUG